rnacentral:rRNA from 1 species
UACGUAGGGUGCGAGCGUUGUCCGGAAUUAUUGGGCGUAAAGGGUUCGUAGGCGGUUUGUCGCGUCGGGAGUGAAAUCCACUGGCUUAACUGGUGGCUUGCUUUCGAUACGGGCAGACUGGAGGUAUGCAGGGGAGAACGGAAUUCCUGGUGUAGCGGUGAAAUGCGCAGAUAUCAGGAGGAACACCGGUGGCGAAGGCGGUUCUCUGGGCAUGUCCUGACGCUGAGGAGCGAAAGUGUGGGGAGCGAACAGG